rnacentral:rRNA from 1 species
GGUUAGUAACGCGUGGGAAUAUACCCGACACUAAGGAAUAGCCUCUGGAAACGGAGAGUAAUACCUUAUACGCCCUUCGGGGGAAAGAUUUAUCGGUGACGGAUUAGCCCGCGUUAGAUUAGAUAGUUGGUGGGGUAAUGGCCUACCAAGUCUACGAUCUAUAGCUGGUUUUAGAGGAUGAUCAGCAACACUGGGACUGAGACACGGCCCAGACUCCUGCGGGAGGCAGCAGUGGGGAAUCUUGGACAAUGGGCGCAAGCCUGAUCCAGCCAUGCCGCGUGAGUGAUGAAGGCCUUAGGGUCGUAAAGCUCUUUCGCCAGAGAUGAUAAUGACAGUAUCUGGUAAAGAAACCCCGGCUAACUCCGUGCCAGCAGCCGCGGUAAUACGGAGGGGGUUAGCGUUGUUCGGAAUUACUGGGCGUAAAGCGCGCGUAGGCGGGCUAGUAAGUUAGAGGUGAAAUCCCGGGGCUCAACCCCGGAACUGCCUUUAAUACUGCUAGUCUUGAGUUCGAGAGAGGUGAGUGGAAUUCCGAGUGUAGAGGUGAAAUUCGUAGAUAUUCGGAGGAACACCAGUGGCGAAGGCGGCUCACUGGCUCGAUACUGACGCUGAGGUGC